UGAGAGGUGUGGAUGGAUGGGGCAGGUACAGUAGCUGCAGAAAGAGUAUAAAACAGGGCUGCAGAGGGCAGAGAGACACCACACUACUACUGAAGACCAGAAGACAUCAUCCAGAUAAACAGCCAUCAAUCAGACAGCAUCGUCCAACUUAAAGGAUGAAGAUCCAGAGUAUGUUACUGCUGUUCGCUCUAGUGGGUGUCCUGUUAGCAAGCUCCCUCAAUGAAGAUAACUCUGAGGAAGCUCUCCUGCAGGAGGAUGAUCUAAAAAGUGGAAAGGCUGCAUUUUUGGCAAAGUUGGCUGCUCUGAAGACCAGCGCCUCUGAAGAUGAAGCACCAUUUUGGAGCGUGCUUUGGAACAAAGCCAAGGAAAUUGUGGGGUGAGAAGCGACCAGAAUUGGGAUGCCAAGGAUCCUUUUCAGUCUCCAUAUGGAAUCAACUAUCACCUCUGAAGACAUCACUAACAAUACCUCAAUGAAUCAUUCCAACAUCCAUCCAUCAAUCACUGACUAACAAAAAACAAAACAGUAAUACAGUUCUUUGGUACUUUGGUACUGAGAAGAACUCAUCAACAUAAUGAAGAAUAUAUGUUUUAUCCAUAAACGUACUUUAUGUCCUGACACAUGGUCGUUUUUUCGUCAAGACAGCGGAUUUAUAUUAAUGAUCAGAAUUUCUUUGUGCAAUGUUGUAUGGUUGACGUGUCACACUGUGAUCCUCCAAUAAACUAUCAAGCAUUA